rnacentral:tRNA from 1 species
GGAGGAAUACCCAAGCGGUUGAAGGGGCUCGCCUGGAAAGCGGGUAGGUCGUGAAUAGCGGCGCGAGGGUUCAAAUCCCUCUUCCUCCGCCA